UUGGAGGGCAAGUCUGGUGCCAGCAGCCGCGGUAAUUCCAGCUCCAAUAGCGUAUAUUAAAGUUGUUGCAGUUAAAAAGCUCGUAGUUGAAUUUCGGGGUUAGUAGGUUGGUCAUGCCUCUGGUAUGUACUGGUCUCACUGAUUCCUCCUUCCUGAUGAACCGUAAUGCCAUUAAUUUGGUGUUGCGGGGAAUUUGGACUGUUACUUUGAAAAAAUUAGAGUGUUUAAAGCAAGCUAACGCUUGAAUACAUUAGCAUGGAAUAAUGAAAUAGGACGUUCGAUCCUAUUUUGUUGGUUUCUAGGAUUGACGUAAUGAUUAAUAGGGAUAGUUGGGGGCAUUAGUAUUCAAUUGUCAGAGGUGAAAUUCUUGGAUUUAUUGAAGACUAACUACUGCGAAAGCAUUUGCCAAGGAUGUUUUCAUUAAUCAAGAACGAAAGUUAGGGGACCGAAGACGAUCAGAUACCGUCGUAGUCUUAACCAUAAACUAUGCCGACUAGGGAUCGGAUGAUGUUAAUUUUUUAAUGACUCAUUCGGCGCCUUACGGGAAACCAAAGUGUUUGGGUUC
rnacentral:rRNA from 1 species